rnacentral:rRNA from 1 species
UUGCCUACGGGACGCAGCAGUGGGGAAUAUUGCACAAUGGGGGAAACCCUGAUGCAGCAACGCCGCGUGAGUGAAGAAGUAUUUCGGUAUGUAAAGCUCUAUCAGCAGGGAAGAAAAUGACGGUACCUGAGUAAGAAGCCCCGGCUAACUACGUGCCAGCAGCCGCGGUAAUACGUAGGGGGCAAGCGUUAUCCGGAUUUAUUGGGUGUAAAGGGUGCGUAGACGGGAAAAUAAGUUAGUUGUGAAAUCCCUCGGCUCAACUGAGGAACUGCAACUAAAACUAUUUUUCUUGAGUGCAGGAGAGG